GUCCCUGUAGCGCAAUGGAUAGCACGUUGGACUUCUAAUCCAAAGGUCGUGGGUUUGAAUCCCUCCUGGGAUG
rnacentral:tRNA from 1 species